rnacentral:rRNA from 1 species
CGGCGGACGGGUGAGUAACACGUGGAUAACCUACCUAUAAGACUGGGAUAACUUCGGGAAACCGGAGCUAAUACCGGAUAAUAUUUUGAACCGCAUGGUUCAAAAGUGAAAGACGGUCUUGCUGUCACUUAUAGAUGGAUCCGCGCUGCAUUAGCUAGUUGGUAAGGUAACGACUUACCAAGGCAACGAUGCAUAGCCGACCUGAGAGGGUGAUCGGCCACACUGGAACUGAGACACGGUCCAG